UCCGGCUUGUCGCCGGCGGUCCCUCUAGAGUGCCCAACUGAAUGAUGGCAACUAAUGACAAGGGUUGCGCUCGUUGCGGGACUUAACCCAACAUCUCACGACACGAGCUGACGACAGCCAUGCAGCACCUGUGUCCAGGCUCCCUUUCGGGCGCCAAGCCAUCUCUGGCAAGUUCCUGGCAUGUCAAGGGUAGGUAAGGUUGUUCGCGUUGCAUCGAAUUAAUCCACAUCAUCCACCGCUUGUGCGGGUCCCCGUCAAUUCCUUUGAGUUUUAAUCUUGCGACCGUACUCCCCAGGCGGUCAACUUCACGCGUUAGCUGCGGUACCAAGAACUUGCGCUCCCGACACCUAGUUGCCAUCGUUUAGGGCGUGGACUAC
rnacentral:misc_RNA from 1 species